UCAUGGUAGGACUAAUCAUUUCUUAGCCAGGAAGGACAGAGAAGCCAGACUUCAGAAGGAACCCCUCUCAAGUUUCAAUUUUUUAGCCCUGCAAUAGUCAGAAACUGAUGUUAUCCUGCCUCCCUGUGGCCACUCUGUAGCAACACCCUGUCCUUCCUUUUUUUUCUAUGCAUGCCAUAAUUAAGGAACAAAAUACCUUUCCUACUUGGACUGCCCAGGGAAAUGUCCCUGGAAGAAGUUGCAUAGACACCCUGCUGUUCCUGGUCCUCAGGUCCUUAAUGAGAGUUGGCUGGGCUGCAGGUCAAGAGUGUGACAUCUUCAGCCUGGGAGGAUUUAGAAGCACAAGACUGGGACUCUUUCUGUGCAUGCAUGAUGAAGAAGUCCAAAGUCGACUUAAGCCCCAGGUAGCCCUUUGGAAGGCCUGAACUCUUUUCUGCAUGAGCAUCCUGGCAGCAUGGACCAGGCACCCCUCAGAAACCAAGGUAGAUGGCCCUGCACUGAAGAGAAAGAAAGGCCGCCUGGAUCAGUUCUAACGCUAACCUCCUACACCCCUUAAUCGUGGCAAUAUUUCUCCUAUAUUGGAAAUAAAAUCACAUUGUUGAAUUGGC